CCUACGGGAGGCAGCAGUGAGGAAUAUUGGUCAAUGGACGAGAGUCUGAACCAGCCAAGUAGCGUGAAGGAUGACUGCCCUAUGGGUUGUAAACUUCUUUUAUAUGGGAAUAAAAUGUUCCACGUGUGGGAUUUUGUAUGUACCAUAUGAAUAAGGCUCGGCUAACUCCGUGCCAGCAGCCGCGGUAAUACGGAGGAUCCGAGCGUUAUCCGGAUUUAUUGGGUUUAAAGGGAGCGUAGGUGGAUUGUUAAGUCAGUUGUGAAAGUUUGAGGCUCAACCGUAAAAGUGCAGUUGAAACUGGCAGUCUUGAGUACAGGAGAGGUGGGCGGAAUUCGUGGUGUAGCGGUGAAAUGCUUAGAUAUCACGAAGAACUCCGAUUGCGAAGGCAGUUCACUGGACUGUAACUGACACUGAGGCUCGAAAGUGUGGGUAUCAAACAGGAUUAGAUACCCCUGUAGUC
rnacentral:rRNA from 1 species